GUGAAUCAUCGAAUUUUUGAACGCAAAUUGCACUUUCUGGUAUUCCGGAAAGUAUGCCUGUUUGAGGGUCAGUUAAAUAAAAAUCGGUGUUGUUGCUGUCUUUCGUUGUGACACGUCGGAAUUGGGUUGUCUUAUGUUGGGUUAAGAGACUUAAAAUUUUUGCAUGAUUUUUGAUUGUAUUUAAAUCGUUUACUUACUCUUGAG
rnacentral:misc_RNA from 1 species